UACGUAGGUGGCAAGCGUUGUCCGGAUUUACUGGGCGUAAAGGGCGUGCAGGCGGUUUGUUAAGUCUAGGGUGAAAGCUCCCGGCUCAACUGGGAGAGGUCCUUGGAUACUGGCAGACUUGAGGAGAGUAGAGGAGAGUGGAAUUCCCGGUGUAGUGGUGAAAUGCGCAGAUAUCGGGAGGAACACCAAUGGCGAAGGCAGCUCGCUGGGACGGUACUGACGCUGAGACGCGAAAGCGUGGGGAGCGAACAGG
rnacentral:rRNA from 1 species